rnacentral:sRNA from 1 species
GCGACCUUAAUCUGAAUCCCAUGCGCGAC